rnacentral:lncRNA from 1 species
AGCGCUCGUCCAAACCGCCAUCGCUGACAUCUGCCUUUCUGGGAACAGGUCGGACGAAAGCUUGUGCACACGAACCUAACCGAAUUGUAUCACACGUCUGAUCUCAUUUCCUGCAAUGUUAAAAGUAUCACACGUCUGAUCUCAAAUUGUAUCUCACCAUUGCAAAUAACAAAAAUCUCACACAUAAAUUGCAAAUCGUUCCCAAAUAACAAAAUCGCAGAAUUGCAAAUAACAAAUAACAAAAUCUCACACAUAAAUAGCAAAUCGUUCACAAAAUCUCACCAUUGUAAAUUGUUCCCAAUAGAAAUACUAUCAACGCCUCCCAAUAGAAAUAAAAUAUGAAGAAAUCGCAGAAAAAGAUGAAAUGAGAGAUCAACGGAAAUUGCAAAACGGUAGCAAAAAUUAAAGAACCCAACACGGUAGCCCAAAAAAUUGUAUCUCACCAUUGCAAAUAACAAAAUCUCACAUGUAAAUUGCAAAUCUUUUCCCAAUAGAAAAGAUCGCAGAAUAACAAAUAAUAAAAUCUCACACAUAAAUAACCAAUCGUUUACAAAAUCUCACAAUUGCAAAUCGUUCACAAUAGAAAUACUAUCAGCGCCCCCCAAUAGAAAUAAAAUAUGAAGAAAUCGCAGAAAAAAAUGAAAUGAAAGAUCAACGAAAAUCGCAAAACGGUAGCAGAAAUUGAAGAACCCAACACGGUAGCCAAAAGAAAGAGAUAGAAAGUUAAAAAAUAUAUGACGAUGGAAGAAAAAGAAAAACAUACCAGGACGACGACAAGUAGGCGAGACCGACGAAGACACCGAAAACGAAGACAAAGACGGCGCCUUCCAUAACGAAGAUGAAGACACCGAAAACGAAGACGUAGACGGUGCCUUCCAUA